GCCUGGGUGGCUCAGUGGUUAAGCUUCUGACUUCAGCUCAGGUCAUAAUCUCAUAAUUUGUGAGUUCAAGCCCCACAUUGGGCU
rnacentral:tRNA from 1 species